UACGUAGGGUGCAAGCGUUAAUCGGAAUUACUGGGCGUAAAGCGUGCGCAGGCGGUUGUGCAAGACAGAUGUGAAAUCCCCCGGGCUCAACCUGGGAAUUGCAUUUGUGACUGCACGGCUAGAGUGCGUCAGAGGGGGGUAGAAUUCCACGUGUAGCAGUGAAAUGCGUAGAGAUGUGGAGGAACACCGAUGGCGAAGGCAGCCCCCUGGGUCAAGACUGACGCUCAUGCACGAAAGCGUGGGGAGCAAACAAGG
rnacentral:rRNA from 1 species